rnacentral:rRNA from 1 species
AGAGUUUGAUCCUGGCUCAGAUUGAACGCUGGCGGCAGGCCUAACACAUGCAAGUCGAGCGAGAAAGCCCCUUCGGGGGUGAGUAGAGCGGCGGACGGGUGAGUAACGCGUAGAAAUCUGCCCAGUAGUGGGGGAUAACCCGGGGAAACUCGGGCUAAUACCGCAUACGUCCUACGGGAGAAAGUGGGGGACCUUCGGGCCUCACGCUAUUGGAUGAGUCUGCGUCGGAUUAGCUAGUUGGUGGGGUAAAGGCCUACCAAGGCGACGAUCCGUAGCUGGUCUGAGAGGAUGAUCAGCCACACUGGGACUGAGACACGGCCCAGACUCCUACGGGAGGCAGCAGUGGGGAAUAUUGGACAAUGGGGGCAACCCUGAUCCAGCCAUGCCGCGUGUGAAGAAGGCUUUCGGGUUGUAAAGCACUUUCAGUGGGGAGGAAAUGUCGAGGGUGAAUAGCCCUUGGAGUUGACGUUACCCACAGAAGAAGCACCGGCUAAUUCCGUGCCAGCAGCCGCGGUAAUACGGAAGGUGCAAGCGUUAAUCGGAAUUACUGGGCGUAAAGCGCGCGUAGGUGGCUUGGUCAGUCGGUUGUGAAAGCCCCGGGCUUAACCUGGGAACUGCAUCCGAUACUGCCAGGCUGGAGUAUGAGAGAGGAGAGUGGAAUUUCCAGGUGUAGCGGUGAAAUGCGUAAGAAGAUCUGGAGGAACAUCAGUGGGCGAAGGCGGCUCUCUGGCUUAAUACUGACGCUGAGGUGCGAAGCGUGGGGAGCAAACAGAUAAAAUACCUGGUAGUCCACGCUGUAACGAUGUCGAACUAAGCGUGUCUCCUUGGAGGAAUAAUGGCGCAGUAACGGAUAAGUCGACGCUGGGAGAUACGCCGCAAGUAACCCAAUGAUGACGGGCCGCAACGUGAACUGGUUAAUCCAGCACGCGCAAAACCCU